rnacentral:rRNA from 1 species
AGUAAAAGUCGUAACAAGGUUUCCGUAGGUGAACCUGCGGAAGGAUCAUUAAUGAGAACGGUACCCCUCGGGGGGUUGUGCUGGCGCCUCGGCGCAACGUGCACGCCCCCUCCGGCGUCCAGACCCAUUCACACCUGUGCACGAACCUGUCGGACAAGGGGGGGUUGGCGCCUUGCGCGCGCCCUCCGGUCUGGCCCUUUCACACCAGCUUAUUAUUGUACGUCGAAUGCACCACUGCGCACGCGCAACCGAAAUACAACUUUUAACAACGGAUCUCUUGGUUCUCGCAUCGAUGAAGAACGCAGCGAAAUGCGAUAAGUAAUGUGAAUUGCAGAAUUCAGUGAAUCAUCGAAUCUUUGAACGCACCUUGCGCUCCUUGGUAUUCCGAGGAGCAUGCCCGUUUGAGUGUCUUGAUAUCAUCAAAUGCCCCCGCCUUUUCCCGGCGGGUCGGCGAUUUGGACUUGGACGUGCUGCCGGGCGCUCUGCGCUCGGCUCGUCUCGAAUGCAUUAGCCGGAUCCCCCCAACCUCUGGCCGUCGGACCUUAUGGCGUGAUAAGAUCACCCGUCGAGCAGUCCGCGGUCAACGGUCGGGUUCCGCUUCCAAUCGUCCCGUGGCGGACAGCACCGAAACCUCGGUUUUCGACAUCCGACCUCAAAUCGGGUAGGACUACCCGCUGAACUUAAGCAUAUCAAUAAGCGGAGGA